rnacentral:rRNA from 1 species
CCCUUAGAUGUUCUGGGCUGCACGCGCGCUACACUGAUGCGCUCAACGAGUUUAUGACCUUGCCCGGAAGGGUUGGGUAAUCUUCUUAAAACGCAUCGUGAUGGGGAUAGAUUAUUGCAAUUAUUAAUCUUCAACGAGGAAUUCCUAGUAAGCGCGAGUCAUCAGCUCGUGCUGAUUACGUCCCUGCCCUUUGUACACACCGCCCGUCGCUCCUACCGAUCGAGUGAUCCGGUGAAUAAUUCGGACUGCAGCAGUGUUCGGUCACGAACGUUGCAGCGGAAAGUUUAGUGAACCUUAUCACUUAGAGGAAGGAGAAGUCGUAACA